rnacentral:rRNA from 1 species
UACGAGUUUGAUCAUGGCUCAGGAUGAACGCUAGCGGCAGGCCUAAUACAUGCAAGUCGAACGGAUAUAUGUUUUUCGGAAUAUAUAUUAGUGGCGCACGGGUGAGUAACACGUACAUAACUUGCCCUCAAGCGGGGGAUAGCCUUGGGAAACUGAGAGUAAUACCCCAUAGAAUUAUUGGACGGCAUCGUUUGAUAAUUAAAACUACGGUGCUUGGGGAUAGAUGUGCGUCUGAUUAGCUAGUUGGUGAGGUAACUGCUCACCAAGGCGACGAUCAGUAGGGGGCGUGAGAGCGUGGCCCCCCACACGGGUACUGAGACACGGACCCGACUCCUACGGGAGGCAGCAGUAAGGAAUAUUGGUCAAUGGAGGGAACUCUGAACCAGCCAUGCCGCGUGAAGGAUGACGGCCCUCUGGGUUGUAAACUUCUUUUGGAUGGGGCGAAAAAACGGGAUUUAUCCUGGACUGACGGUACCAUCAGAAUAAGCACCGGCUAACUCCGUG